UACGGAGGGUGCAAGCGUUGUCCGGAAUUAUUGGGUUUAAAGCGUGCGUAGGCGUCCCGGUAAGUCAGUGGUGAAAGCCUCCAGCUCAACUGGAGAACUGCCAUUGAUACUGCCGGGCUUGAGUACAGACGAGGUUGGCGGAAUUGAUUGUGUAGCGGUGAAAUGCAUAGAUACAAUCAAGAACUCCGAUGGCGUAGGCAGCUAACUAGGCUGUAACUGACGCUGAGGCACGAAAGCGUGGGGAGCGAACAGG
rnacentral:rRNA from 1 species